rnacentral:rRNA from 1 species
UAAAUCAAAACUUUCAACAACGGAUCUCUUGGCUCUGGCAUCGAUGAAGAACGCAGCGAAAUGCGAUAAGUAAUGUGAAUUGCAGAAUUCAGUGAAUCAUCGAAUCUUUGAACGCACAUUGCGCCCGCCAGUAUUCUGGCGGGCAUGCCUGUUCGAGCGUCAUUACAACCCUCAGGCCCCCGGGCCUGGCGUUGGGGAUCGGCGGAGCCCCCCNGUGGCACACGCCGUCCCCCAAAUACAGUGGCGGUCCCGCCGCAGCUUCCAUUGCGUAGUAGCUAACACCUCGCAACUGGAGAGCGGCGCGGCCACGCCGUAAAACACCCCAACUUCUGAACGUUGACCUCGAAUCAGGUAGGAAUACCCGCUGAACUUAAGCAUAUCAAUAAGCGGAGGAAAAGAAACCAACAGGGAUUGCCCUAGUAACGGCGAGUGAAGCGGCAACAGCUCAAAUUUGAAAUCUGGCUCUCGGGCCCGAGUUGUAAUUUGUAGAGGAUGCUUUUGGUGCGGUGCCUUCCGAGUUCCCUGGAACGGGACGCCAUAGAGGGUGAGAGCCCCGUCUGGUUGGACGCCAAUCCUCUGUAAAGCUCCUUCGACGAGUCGAGUAGUUUGGGAAUGCUGCUCUAAAUGGGAGGUAUAUGUCUUCUAAAGCUAAAUACCGGCCAGAGACCGAUAGCGCACAAGUAGAGUGAUCGAAAGAUGAAAAGAACUUUGAAAAGAGAGUUAAAAAGUACGUGAAAUUGUUGAAAGGGAAGCGCUUGUGACCAGACUUGGGCUUGGUUGAUCAUCCAGGGUUCUCCCUGGUGCACUCUUCCGGCCUAGGCCAGCAUCAGUUCGCCCCGGGGGACAAAGGCGCCGGGAAUGUGGCUCCUCUCGGGGAGUGUUA